AAGUCGUAACAAGGUCUCCGUAGGUGAACCUGCGGAGGGAUCAUUAACACGUUUCCAUAACGUUUAACUACCCACCAAAUUGCGUGAAUUCAAUUGAAUUAACUUUAUACCCGCCUUGAGAGGGAGAGAACCUGUCUAACUUGCACGGAGUGAUGAGUGUGUUUAUUUUUGAUGUUGGCAACAGCAUUAAAUUAGGCAUGCGGUGCUUUUAGGCUAGUAAUGCUCGACAUUACGGGAUCUCUCUCAUUCAAGCUAUCAACAACUAAUCAAUGUUCCCUUCAUCGCUGGAACGCACAACACCCCUUUCACCCCUUUAUAACUAACUAGACUGAUAUUUCUUUUAACCAGUGAGGCUUGCUUUACUGUUUACGAGAUUGAUUAAUAAUCAAAUAUCUAAGCACAACUCUUAGCAACGGAUAUCUUGGUUCUC
rnacentral:misc_RNA from 1 species